rnacentral:misc_RNA from 1 species
UACGUAGGGGGCAAGCGUUGUCCGGAAUUAUUGGGCGUAAAGCGCGCGCAGGCGGUCUCGUAAGUCUGAUGUGAAAGCCCACGGCUCAACCGGGGAGGGUCAUUGGAAACUGGCGGACUUGAGUGCAGAAGAGGAAAGUGGAAUUCCAUGUGUAGCGGUGAAAUGCGUAGAUAUAUGGAGGAACACCAGUGGCGAAGGCGACUUUCUGGUCUGUAAUUGACGCUGAGGCGCGAAAGCGUGGGGAGCAAACAGG